rnacentral:rRNA from 1 species
UACGUAGGGUGCGAGCGUUGUCCGGAAUUAUUGGGCGGAAAGAGCUCGUAGGCGGUCUGUCGCGUCGGUCGUGAAAACUUGGGGCUUAACCCUGAGCUUGCGGUCGAUACGGGCAUGACUGGAGUUCGGCAGGGGAGACUGGAAUUCCUGGUGUAGCGGUGAAAUGCGCAGAUAUCAGGAGGAACACCGGUGGCGAAGGCGGGUCUCUGGGCCGUAACUGACGCUGAGGAGCGAAAGCGUGGGGAGCGAACAGG